AGAGUUUGAUCCUGGCUCAGAACGAACGCUGGCGGCGUGGAUUAGGCAUGCAAGUCGUACGCGAAAGAGGGAGCAAUCCCUCGAGUAGAGUGGCGAACGGGUGAGUAACGCGUGAAGAACCUGCCUUCAACAGGGGGAUAACACUCCCAACGGGGUGCUAAUACCGCAUGAGACCACGGGAUCGCAUGGUCCUGAGGUCAAAGGUGGCCUCUAUUUAUAAGCUACCGGUUGAAGAUGGCUUCGCGUCCCAUUAGCUAGUUGGCGGGGUAAUGGCCCACCAAGGCGACGAUGGGUAGCUGGUCUGAGAGGAUGGUCAGCCACACUGGGACUGAGAUACGGCCCAGACUCCUACGGGAGGCAGCAGUCGAGAGGCUUCGGCAAUGGGGGAAACCCUGACCGAGCGACGCCGCGUGGGGGAUGAAGGCCCUUGGGUUGUAAACCCCUUUUGUUCGGGAAGAAGUGCGAUCAGGUGAAUAAUCUGGUCGUUUGACGGUACCGGACGAAUAAGCUCCGGCUAACUCCGUGCCAGCAGCCGCGGUAACACGGGGGGAGCAAGCGUUGUUCGGAAUCACUGGGCGUAAAGGGCGUGUAGGCGGUGCGGUAAGUGAGAUGUGAAAUCCCUCGGCUCACCCGAGGAUCUGCAUCUCAUACUGCUGCGCUUGAGUACGGGAGAGGAUGAGGGAAUUCCUGGUGUAGCGGUGAAAUGCGUAGAUAUCAGGAGGAACACCGGUGGCGAAAGCGCUCAUCUGGCCCGAUACUGACGCUGAGGCGCGAAAGCUAGGGGAGCAAACGGGAUUAGAUACCCCCGUAGUCC
rnacentral:rRNA from 1 species